GAUUGAACGCUGGCGGCAGGCCUAACACAUGCAAGUCGAGCGGAUGAAGGGAGCUUGCUCCUGGAUUCAGCGGCGGACGGGUGAGUAAUGCCUAGGAAUCUGCCUGGUAGUGGGAGAUAACGUCCGGAAACGGGCGCUAAUACCGCAUACGUCCUGAGGGAGAAAGUGGGGGAUCUUCGGACCUCACGCUAUCAGAUGAGCCUAGGUCGGAUUAGCUAGUUGGUGGGGUAAAGGCCUACCAAGGCGACGAUCCGUAACUGGUCUGAGAGGAUGAUCAGUCACACUGGAACUGAGACACGGUCCAGACUCCUACGGGAGGCAGCAGUGGGGAAUAUUGGACAAUGGGCGAAAGCCUGAUCCAGCCAUGCCGCGUGUGUGAAGAAGGUCUUCGGAUUGUAAAGCACUUUAAGUUGGGAGGAAGGGCAGUAAGUUAAUACCUUGCUGUUUUGACGUUACCAACAGAAUAAGCACCGGCUAACUUCGU
rnacentral:rRNA from 1 species